rnacentral:lncRNA from 1 species
CACAUAUGACCACUGAUUAAACUCACUUAUUGUGAACAAAAUCCAAUCAAAUGCAACAUUAUUCUGCUAAAUUUGUUGCUGUAUAUGGUUUUUGUUAAUUUGUUUAUUGCACUGUAUAUCUAUCAGGCAGUUAGUUUUUGUUGUUUUACAUUUGUCAAGCCAUGGUUUUAUUGUUUCAGUAGUAGUUAGUUUUUGUUGUUUUACAUUUGUCAAGCCAUGGUUUUAUUGUUUGAGUAGUUUUAUGUUU